AUGCAUGUCUAAGUAUAAGCAAUUAUACAGCGAAACUGCGAAUGGCUCAUUAAAUCAGUUAUCGUUUAUUUGAUAGUACCAUACUACUUGGAUAACCGUGGUAAUUCUAGAGCUAAUACAUGCUAAAAACCUCGACUUCGGAAGAGGUGUGUUUAUUAGAUUAAAGACCAAUGCCCUCCGGGGCUCACUGGUGAUUCAUAAUAACCUCUCGAAUCGCACGGCCCUGCGCCGGCGAUGGUUCAUUCAAAUUUCUGCCCUAUCAACUUUCGACUUUAGUGUAGUGGACUAAAGUGGUUGCAACGGGUAACGGAGGGUUAGGGCUCGACCCCGGAGAAGGAGCCUGAGAAACGGCUACUACAUCCAAGGAAGGCAGCAGGCGCGCAAAUUACCCAAUCCCGACACGGGGAGGUAGUGACAAUAAAUACUGAUACAGGGCUCUUUCGGGUCUUGUAAUUGGAAUGAGUACAAUUUAAAUCCCUUAACGAGGAACAAUUGGAGGGCAAGUCUGGUGCCAGCAGCCGCGGUAAUUCCAGCUCCAAUAGCGUAUAUUAAAGUUGUUGUGGUUAAAAAGCUCGUAGUUGAACCUGGGCCCCGCGCCCGCCGGGUCGCCUCACCGCGUGCACUGGCGCCGGCCGGGCUUUCACUUGGGGAAACGCAUGCCCUUCGCUGGGCGGGCGCGGAACCAGGACCUUUACUGUGAAAAAAUUAGAGUGUUCAAAGCAGGCCUAUGCUCGAAUACAUUAGCAUGGAAUAAUAGAAUAGGACGCGCGGUUCUAUUUUGUUGGUUAUGGGACCGCCGUAAUGAUUAAUAGGGCCAGUCGGGGGCAUCAGUAUUCAAUAGUCAGAGGUGAAAUUCUUGGAUUUAUUGAAGACUAACUACUGCGAAAGCAUUUGCCAAGGAUGUUUUCAUUAAUCAGGAACGAAAGUUAGGGGAUCGAAGACGAUCAGAUACCGUCGUAGUCUUAACCAUAAACUAUGCCGACUAGGGAUCGGGCGAUGUUACAUUCUGACUCGCUCGGCACCUUACGAGAAAUCAAAGUCUGUGGGUUCCUGGGGAAGUAUGGUGGCAACGCUGAAACUUAAAGAAAUUGACGGAAGGGCACCCCCAGGGGUGGAGCCUGCGGCUUAAUUUGACUCAACACGGGGAAACUCACCAGGUCCAGACACGAUGAGGAUUGACAGAUUGAGAGCUCUUUCUUGAUUUUGUGGGGGGGGGGGGAUGGCCGUUCUUAGUUGGUGGAGUGAUUUGUCUGCUUAAUUGCGAUAACGAACGAGACCUUAACCUGCUAAAUAGCCCGCGUUGCUUCUGCAGCGCGCCGGCUUCUUAGAGGGACUAUCGGCUCAAGCCGAUGGAAGUUUGAGGCAAUAACAGGUCUGUGAUGCCCUUAGAUGUUCUGGGCCGCACGCGCGCGACACUGACAGGGCCAGCGAGUAUUCCCUUGUCCGAAAGGGCCGGGUAAUCUUGUCAAACCCUGUCGUGCUGGGGAUAGAGCAUUGCAAUUAUUGCUCUUCAACGAGGAAUCCCUAGUAAGCGCAAGUCAUCAGCUUGCGUUGAUUACGUCCCUGCCCUUUGUACACACCGCCCGUCGCUACUACCGAUUGAAUGGCUCAGUGAGGCUUCCGGACUGGCUCGGGGAGGUCGGCAACGACCACCCUGGGCCGGAAAGCUAUCCAAACUCGGUCAUUUAGAGGAAGUAAAAGUCGUAACAAGGUCUCCGUUGGUGAACCAGCGGAGGGAUCAUUACUGUGGCCUGCGCUCCGCGCUCGCUCAACCCUCCUGUGGAAAUUUCAAAACGUUUGCCUCGGCGGGCCAGGCCCGCCGCCGGCACCAAAACAACUCUUGCACACUGAAUUCUGAGUGGGCGUAGACCUAAUAAGUCAAAACUUUCAGCAACGGAUCUCUUGGCUCUGGCAUCGAUGAAGAACGCAGCGAAAUGCGAUAAUUAGUGGGAAUUGCAGAACUCAGUGAAUCAUCGAAUCUUUGAACGCACAUUGCGCCCGCCGGCAUCCCGGCGGGCAUGCCUGUCCGAGCGUCAUAUCAACCCCUCGGGCCACCUGUCCACCAUCCGUGGACGGGGUCGGCCCGGCGUUGGGGCACCGCGGGCUGGUUUCCUCCAGCCCGCAGGGCCCCCAAAUCCAGCGGCGGACGCCUCCUGGCCACCCAGCGCAGUAUAAUCGCUAUCGCUGAGGUGCACGGGGGGCUGCCCUGCCUACCGCCUAGCGGCACACACAACGUUGACCUCGGAUCAGGUAGGACUACCCGCUGAACUUAAGCAUAUCAAUAAGCGGAGGAAAAGAAACCAACAGGGAUUGCCCCAGUAACGGCGAGUGAAGCGGCAACAGCUCAAAUUUGAAAUCCGGCCUUGCGGCCCGAGUUGUAAUUUGCAGAGGAUGCUUUUGGCGACGUGCCCUCCGAGUCCCCUGGAACGGGGCGCCGGAGAGGGUGAGAGCCCCGUACGGUGGGACACCUAGCCUAUGUGAAGCUCCUUCGACGAGUCGAGUAGUUUGGGAAUGCUGCUCUAAGCGGGAGGUAAAUUCCUUCUAAAGCUAAAUACCGGCCAGAGACCGAUAGCGCACAAGUAGAGUGAUCGAAAGAUGAAAAGCACUUUGGAAAGAGGGUUAAACAGUACGUGAAAUUGCUGAAAGGGAAGCGCUUGCGACCAGACUCGGGCCUGGCGGAUCAUCCGGCGUUCUCGCCGGUGCACUUCGUCCGGCCUGGGCCAGCAUCGGUUCUGCUGGGGGGACAAAAGCCAGGGAAACGUAGCUCCUUCCGGGGAGUGUUAUAGUCCCCGGCCUAAUACCUCCGGCGGGACCGAGGACCGCGCUAACGCAAGGAUGCUGGCGUAAUGGUCGUCAGCGACCCGUCUUGAAACACGGACCAAGGAGUCGAACAACUGUGCGAGUGUUUGGGUGUCUAAACCCUCACGCGCAAUGAAAGUGAACGGAGGUGGGAGCCUCGGCGCACCAUCGACCGAUCCGGAAGUCUUCUGAAGGAUUUGAGUAGGAGCACAGCUGUUCGGACCCGAAAGAUGGUGAACUAUGCCUGUAUAGGGUGAAGCCAGAGGAAACUCUGGUGGAGGCUCGCAGCGGUUCUGACGUGCAAAUCGAUCGUCGAAUAUGGGCAUGGGGGCGAAAGACUAAUCGAACCAUCUAGUAGCUGGUAUCUGCCGAAGUCC
rnacentral:rRNA from 1 species